GAUGAACGCUGGCGGCGUGCCUAAUACAUGCAAGUCGAGCGAACAGACGAGGAGCUUGCUCCUUUGACGUUAGCGGCGGACGGGUGAGUAACACGUAGGUAACCUACCUAUAAGACUGGGAUAACUUCGGGAAACCGGAGCUAAUACCGGAUAAUAUUUCGAACCGCAUGGUUCGAUAGUGAAAGAUGGCCUUGCUAUCACUUAUAGAUGGACCUGCGCUGUAUUAGCUAGUUGGUAAGGUAACGGCUUACCAAGGCAACGAUACGUAGCCGACCUGAGAGGGUGAUCGGCCACACGGGAACGGAGACACGGCCCAGACGCCGACGGGAGGCAGCAGUAGGGAAUCUUCCGCAAUGGGCGAAAGCCUGACGGAGCAACGCCGCGUGAGUGAUGAAGGGCUUCGGAUCGUAAAACUCUGUUAUGAGGGAAGAACAGAUGUGUAAGGAACUGUGCACAUCUUGAAGGUACCUAAUCAGAAAGCCACGGCGAACUACGUG
rnacentral:rRNA from 1 species